AUGUGUGUCCCUGACCUCAGUAUUCUUAGGUGUGUUGUGUUAGGAGAUAAAUCUUAUAAUUUUGGAGCCAUUGUUGCACGUAGGUUGCAUCUUAAUAGAUUUAAUGGAGAUUUAUUUGGUGGAACUUAUGCAACCUGCAUAGCUAAUUUUCUUGGUAUAACCAUACGUGAGGAUGAUAUUGAGUUGCCUCCUGCUUAUUUGGAUUAUGAGGCUAUGGUUCUUCAUCAUUUUAUUGAGAGGAACGACCAGUUCCUCCAGUACCGACUAAUCUUUGACAGACGACGCACCUAUCACGUCGCUCUCCCUGCUUCAACUUUCUUUGACUUUUAG
rnacentral:rRNA from 1 species